CAUUCUCACUCCAAAGGCGUCAAAAACUGAAGCAUGGUCAAGCGCCCCUAGCGUCACUUUUAUGACGCCAAAUGUGCCUCUCGGCGUCGAAUAUCGAAGCACUACGACCUUCAUUGCUUUCAAUGGGAAACUUUUGGCGUCAGAAUUCGACACGAGGACAUGAGAUGUUUAUCGCUAUGAAAUCACGUUCAAGAAGUCUCAUUCAGCACACAUCGCGAUACUUGCUAUCAGUUCCACAGUUUGGCUGAAAAGACGUAAAGGCAGUCAGCCCAGUGGUGUUUCUGGAGAGGGAUUCCUUCAGAAAUGGAGAAGACAGAAAGCUGCGGAGGCAGAUAUUUGCAGCAGAUUGUUUGAGGAUAACGCUGUAAUUCUCCAUCAUGCACAAGGACUCACCUCGUUAACUCUUUGUCACCCACACACACAGAUAUGGUCCCUGGAUCAGUGAUUAGACUUUGCAGUGGUUUGAUUUUUGCAGAAGAUGUAACUUUGUUUUAAUUAUAAGCUCAUAAUGAAUACAUUACAGAACCAGUGAUGAAAACAAUAGUUAAAAAUAGCGCUCCAUUUUAAAAAUAUAUUGCACACUUGACAUGCAUGUCUUCAUGGUGUUUUUUUGUGAGUUUGAAACAUUUACAUUGUGUUGUAUAACAUUUUGGUCACAACACUUUUUCCAGUGUUCUCUGAAAGACAUACUGUAUUUAC